GAAGUUUUAUAUAUAGAAGAUAUAUAAAAUAUGUAGAUGUUUUGAGGAGAAGUCCACUGAAGUUUUAUAUAUAGAAGAUAUAUAAAAUAUGUAGAUGUUUUGAGGAGAAGUACUAAAUCUACAACUUAAGAAUUAUAGUCUGUACAAUUUCUUAUCCAAUGGUCAUUCAAUCUUAUCUCACCUUUUCUAGUCCUUAGUGGCAAGAUUUGUAGGGAAAAGAUGUCUUUUGUAUUAGUUAAGUGGUAAGAUUAUAACUGAAAAUGAGUCGAGUGUAUGAAGACAUCCUGUCUUACAAGUAAUUCUAAAAUUACUUCUAAAUUUUUGUUAUUUUGUGUUAAGAAUCAUUC
rnacentral:lncRNA from 1 species